GAGGGAGAGAAGAAGAGAGAGUGACACAGUUGUGGUGGUGGUCUGGUGAUGGCCUUUCUCUGGGGCUCGGCGUCUCUGUAAACACAGAGAAGAAAAGAUGGUGAGCGUUAGGAGAGAAGGGAGAGUUUGAGGGAAAAGAUGGCCGUUCUCUGGGUCAGUCGAAGCGGGCCAGAAAAGAUCCGACACUUGUGUUUAAAGAGGAGGAUGAAGGGGACGGAGGAGGAAGAAGGCGGCGGAGGAGGACGAAGGGGCGUUGGGGAGAAAGCACGGUUUCUGGGGAAAAAAGGAAGAAAAAGUGAAAAUUAUACUUCCACUCCCAUGCAUGCAUCCGAGUGAAAUGGAAUAUUACACUAUGGCGAAGAAUUAUCCUUACUGACCGUACCUGAUGGAAAUGGAACACAUAUCACAUCUGAUUUUAGACUGAGAUAUUUUUCAAUGUACAGGAAAAUAUAUAAUUUGGUAUUUUCAACACUUUUAUUAUAAUAUUUAACGUAUCAGAUCGUAUUCUAGUCAUCCUUAAAAAUUUCCGUUAGAUAGUAAAAUAUGUCCAUUUUGGUCCGUACGAUAUGGCACAAUCGUUGUCUGGUGAGCACAAGUUACUCAAGAUAAUCCCAGUUAAUUAGUGCAUAAAUAUCUCCAUGAUUGUCCGGUAAAUGCUCUAAGAAAUCAGUCAAAAGAUUAGGCUUUGUCCGGUCCAGGAACAACAAUGACGAUUUAAUAUUUAUAUUAAGUUCUGCAUUUAGUUAUGGCUGACUUAUUGUGUGUUUACGACUAGAUGCGGUUUGUUUGAUGGUGGUGCUCAUUCAUGUGGUGGCCGUAGUACUCACGAUUCAAGAAUUAUGAAUCCGUUUAGGGUUUAGAUUGUCUGGCUUGGCAAGAAAUUGAGCUUAAAGCGACAUGAGUUUUUGGUUGUGUUUAUGUUAAAGUUUUUUUCUCGUAAAGUUCUUGUUUUUGUUUGUUCGCUAUAUUUUAUGCGUGUUUGAUAUACUUUUUUCUCUUU